GCAAGAUGCAGCUUAAAAUAAAUGGUAGUUAUACCCCGCAUGAUUAACUACAGGAUUUAACAUUCAGGGGGCGGACUCUUCCCCCUGGGUGUAUGCCU
rnacentral:sRNA from 12 species